rnacentral:rRNA from 1 species
CCUACGGGGGGCAGCAGUGAUGAAUAUUGGUCAAUGGCCGUAAGGCUGAACCAGCCAAGUCGCGUGAAGGAAGAAGGAUCUAUGGGUUGUCAACUUCUUUUAUAGGGGAAUAAAGGUAUCCACGUGUGGAUAUUUGCAUGUACCCUAUGAAUAAACAUCGGCUAACUCCGUGCCAGCAGCCGCGGUAAGCCGGAGGAUGCGAGCGUUGUCCGACUUUAUUGGGUUUAAAGGGUGCGUCGGUUGUUUUUUAAGUCAGCGGUGAAAGUUUGUGGCUCAAACAUAAAAUUGCCGUUGAAACUGGAAGACGUGAGUGUGUUUGAGGUAGGCGGAAUGCGUGGUGUAGCGGUGAAAUGCAUAGAUAUCACGCAGAACUCCGAUUGCGAAGGCAGCUUACUAAGCCAUAACUGACACUGAAGCACGAAAGCGUGGGGAUCAAACAGGAUUAGAUACCCUGGUAGUC